rnacentral:rRNA from 1 species
UACGAAGGGUGCAAUCGUUGCUCGGAAUCAUUGGGCGUAAAGCGCACGUAGGCGGCCUGUUAAGUCGGAUGUGAAAUCCCUCGGCUCAACCGAGGACGUGCAUUCGAAACUGGCAGGCUCGAGUAUGGUAGAGGGUCGCGGAAUUCCCGGUGUAGAGGUGAAAUUCGUAGAUAUCGGGAGGAACACCAGUGGCGAAGGCGGCGACCUGGGCCAAUACUGACGCUGAGGUGCGAAAGCGUGGGGAGCAAACAGG